ACCCUUCUGGUCUUUUUCUCAUCAGAUCUCAACACUGGUCUUGGAGGUCAGAAAGAAGUAAAAGUACACUGAAGCUAGCCUCACAACGAUCAAGUCUGGUAUAGAGCAUAGGUCCAGAUUCAAACAGGU
ensembl:snoRNA small nucleolar RNA SNORA61